rnacentral:lncRNA from 1 species
AUUGAAAGGAAAAUAGGGGAAGAAAAGAUGAAAAGGACGAACUUUACCUCGUUUGCCUCGGUCCCCCCGUCACAUGGCGUCUCGAUCAUUUCCUCUUCCUCUUUUUUCCUUUAGGUUCAACUUCCACACUCUCCUGCCUCCGUCCCUCUCUUCUUUUCUUCCUCACUCGUGGCGAUCCCUCUUUGGCUCCCCUUUUUUUCCCCCUCAGCCCCUCCUAUCUUUUCUUCUCCUCCCUCCUUUUUUUCUCUUGUACCUUCCCUCUUCCUUCCCUCUCCUUUUUUCUUCCUCUCGACUUCCCUGUGCGACCUCUCUUCAUCCUUCCCUUCCCGAUCACUCCUCUCUCUUCUUCCUCUCUCUUUUUCAGUUACUCUUCAAAAUGAAGAGAAAACUCUAAUCUCUUCCUUUUUUUUAUACCCAUUCCUUCAACGUUGGAUCUUCAUGACUCGAUCUGGACCAUCCAUUUUCUUUUAAAUCUCCUCCAUUCAAUCUCUUCAAGUGGUCCAAUCUAGGUCAUCCAUUCUCCUUAUUUCCUUUGCCCCCUUCAACUUCUCCUUAUUUAUGUUUUUGUCCCCUUUUUUCUUUCCUACUUUCAUUUAAGUCCCUAAAUUUACUUAAAAGCCCAAAUUUUAUUUACAUUUCUUUUCCUUUAAGUUGAUAUUACAGGUAGAAAUGAGAUAAUAGACGAUAUAAUUUUAGUGGUUGAUUGAAACUGUCAUAAAAGUUGAAAUGUUGCUAGGUAAUAUAUGAGAAAUAGAGGAACUCAUGUGUCCAUUUCCUGGCCACCCUAUUUAUUUCUUUACUUGAAAAAAAUAGUUGUUUAACUAU